ACUAUUUUGGCAGAUUAGUGCAAUAAAUUUAGAAUUUAUAUAUGUAAAUUAUUUUACAAAUAGUA
rnacentral:tRNA from 1 species